GCCUUCGUGGUGUAGUGGUCAGCACGCUGGGCGCAUAUUCCACAGGCCCGUGGUUCGGUUCAAGUCCCGGCGAAGGCG
rnacentral:tRNA from 1 species